rnacentral:piRNA from 1 species
CACGGCAGUGUGUACCUUACGGCGUC